rnacentral:SRP_RNA from 1 species
GCUGGGCAUGGUGGUGCGUGCCUGUGGUCCCAACUGCUUGGGAGGCUGAGGUGGGUGGAUUGCUUGAGCCCAGGAGUCUGAGGCUGCAGUGAGUCAUGAUGACAUCACUUCACUCCAGCCUGGAUAACAGAGCAAGACCCUGUCUCUU